rnacentral:rRNA from 1 species
GUACACGCUGUGACUAGCAUAUCAAUAAGCGGAGGAAAAGAAACUAACAAGGAUUCCCCUAGUAACGGCGAGUGAAGCGGGAAGAGCUCAAAUUUGAAAUCUUAAAGGUUUCCCUUUACGAAUUGUAGUUUAAAGAAGUGUUUUCUGUUGAGGUUUUGGUAAAAGUUCUUUGGAAUAGGACAUCAUAGAGGGUGAGAAUCCCGUAUUUGACCUUUACUUUCAACUUUGUGAUACACUUUCAAAGAGUCGGAUUGUUUGGGAAUGCAGUCCAAAAUGGGUGGUAAAUUUCAUCUAAAGCUAAAUAUUGGCGAGAGACCGAUAGCGUACAAGUACCGUGAGGGAAAGAUGAAAAGAACUUUGAAAAGAGAGUUAAACAGUACGUGAAAUUGUCAAAAGGGAAGCGUUUGACACCAGUGUUGUUUUUCUGAAAAUCAAUUAAAGAACUGUUUAUGCUAAGCUGUUUAGACUUUAUCAGCUAUCUGUUUAGUUUUGAGCUUUUCUUUAAUGCACUUUUCAGUUAACAAGUCAACAUCAAUUUCUUUUGCUGUAAAAAAGCUUGAGGAAGGUGGCUUGAGAUUCGUCUUAAGUGUUUAUAGCCUCUUGCCUAUGCAGUCGGAGAGAUUGAGGUCUGCAGCGUAGAUCCUUCGGGGCUAAAUGCAUUUGUGCUAAGUUAUAGCAUUUUAUAGACAACUUGUUGACUAUGAUUUGUCUUGUAGCUUACUCGCUUAUGUUAUUUUACCUACGCUUAGGAUGUUGAAGAUGUAGCACAUCAU